rnacentral:rRNA from 1 species
GAUGAACGCUAGCGACAGGCUUAACACAUGCAAGUCGAGGGGAAACACCAUCGAAAGCUUGCUUUUGAUGUGCGUCGACUGGCGCACGGGUGAGUAACGCGUAUCCAACCUGCCCAUCACUUGGGAAUAACCUUGCGAAAGUAAGACUAAUACCCAAUGAUAUCCCACGAAGGCAUCGGAAUGGGAUGAAAGAUUUAUCGGUGAUGGAUGGGGAUGCGUCUGAUUAGCUUGUUGGCGAGGUAACGGCCCACCAAGGCAACGAUCAGUAGGUGUUCUGAGAGGAAGGCACACCACAACGGAGCUGCGACACAGACCACUAUGGUACGGAACGGAGGAGUGAGUACCGUUGGUGACUGAGGGAGGGCCUGACACAGCCAAGUAGCGUGCAAGAAGACGGCCAUCGGAGUAGUAAACUGCUAUUAAAAGGGAAAAAAGUGAGUCACGGGUCACUUCUUGAAUGUACCUAAUGAAUAAGGAACGGCUAAUUCCGUG